CUACAAGGGUAUCUAAUCCUGUUUGCUCCCCACGCUUUCGCGCCUCAGCGUCAGUUGUAGGCCAGAAAGUCGCCUUCGCCACUGGUGUUCCUCCACAUAUCUACGCAUUUCACCGCUACACGUGGAAUUCCACUUUCCUCUCCUACACUCAAGUCCCCCAGUUUCCAAUGACCCUCCACGGUUGAGCCGUGGGCUUUCACAUCAGACUUAAGAGACCGCCUGCGCGCGCUUUACGCCCAAUAAUUCCGGACAACGCUUGCCCCCUACGUAUUACCGCGGCUGCUGGCAC
rnacentral:rRNA from 1 species